UGGAUAUUUGUGUAAUGAUACUGAUUUGUUUUUUUUUCUGUUGGUAGAAAUGAGAGUGAAAUGAAUGAAGAAAAGACAGAUGAAAAGCAUAAAUAUUUUCAACAAUGAGAAUUGAAAAAUUAAAGCUAUCUUCUCUUCUUUAGGACUCAAUUAACCAGAGCCCUUCUCCUCCAAACAUGUCACUUAAUGAGACUGUUACUACAAUAAUUACACUUAAACAUAGGCAUCGUGAGAAAAAUGAAAAUUAUGUUCAGAUGGGGACAUGGAAGAAUGAGAAGACUGAACCAAAUCAAUACCUGUUGACUUUUAAGAAACAGAGAAAACAAUUAAGAGCACAAGAAAGGAAAUCUCUGGGACACCUGAGGAGACAUUUCAGAGGAGAAAGAGAAUCAAUUUCCAAGUAAUUUGGAAUGGAAGCAAGUCUGGCCGCAUUCUUUAUCUGGGAGCUCCUCUAAAAUCCUCCCACCACCACCAGGGUUUGAUGGUUAGGAGACUUAGCAACAGAAAGAGUAAAAAGAGAAAAUAAGCAGCGAAGCCUGUGCUUCCAUCUCCC
rnacentral:lncRNA from 1 species